GGUUAAGUUACAAAGGGCGCACGGUGGAUGCCUUGGCACUAGGAGCCGAUGAAGGACGGGACUAACACCGAUAUGCUUCGGGGAGCUGUAAGUAAGCGUAGAUCCGGAGAUUUCCGAAUGGGGGAACCCACUGCUCGUAAUGGAGCAGUAUCCAUGUCUGAAUCCAUAGGGCAUGGAGGGCACACCCGGGGAACUGAAACAUCUAAGUACCCGGAGGAGAAGAAAGCAAAUGCGAUUUCCUGAGUAGCGGCGAGCGAAACGGAAACAGCCCAAACCAAGAGGUAAGCCUCUUGGGGUUGUAGGACACUCGAAGUGGAGUGACAAAGGAACGAGGUAGACGAAGAGGUCUGGAAAGGCCCGUCAGAGAAGGUAAAAACCCUGUAGUCGAAACUUCGUUCCCUCCCGAGUGGAUCCUGAGUACGGCGGGACACGUGAAAUCCCGUCGGAAGCAGGGAGGACCAUCUCCCAAGGCUAAAUACUCCCUAGUGACCGAUAGUGAACCAGUACCGUGAGGGAAAGGUGAAAAGCACCCCGGGAGGGGAGUGAAAGAGAACCUGAAACCGUGUGCCUACAAGUAGUCAGAGCCC
rnacentral:rRNA from 1 species